rnacentral:rRNA from 1 species
CCUACGGGAGGCAGCAGUGGGGGAUAUUGCACAAUGGGGGGAACCCUGAUGCAGCGACGCCGCGUGGGUGAAGAAGUCCCCCGGGGUGGAAAGCCCUGUCAGCAGGGAAGAAAAUGACGGUACCUGACCAAGAAGCCCCGGCUAACUACGUGCCAGCAGCCGCGGUACUACGUAGGGGGCAAGCGUUAUCCGGAUUUACUGGGUGUAAAGGGGGCGUAGACGGCAAGGCAAGUCUGGAGUGAACGCCCGGGGCCCAACCACGGGACUGCUGUGGCAACUGUGUUGCUGGAGUGCAGGAGGGGUAGGCGGAAUUCCUAGUGUAGCGGUGAAAUGCGUAGAUAUUAGGAGGAACACCGGUGGCGAAGGCAGCUUGCUGGACUGUAACUGACGUUGAGGCUCGAAGGCGUGGGGAGCAAACAGGAUUAGAUACCCCUGUAGUC